CAAGGGGUGACUCUUAUUUCAUGGGAUUAUAUUGCAAAUCGACGAGAUUGAUUUCAGGAGAGAAAAGUUCACUCCCAAGAUUGAAUGGUGUAGCUCAAGAUGGGAUGAAUUUGCGUCAAUCACUCCAAUUCGAGCUUGAUCUCUUAGCCCCACAACUCCCUUUUGAUGAUCAUGUUGUAAAGACUCAGUCGUUGGCUCAAUCUUGGAAAACCCAAAUCCAAAGGUAUAAGUAAUCAAUUUGAUGAGCCCCCAUAGUAGACGAGUGUCACGACCCAAAUCGGAGGGCCGCAACAGGCACCCGGUACUUUACUCUACCGAGUACUAAUGUAACGUAUCUUUCUUAUCAUACCAUAAUGGGUAAAUGGUCCGGAAGGGCCGUCAUGGUAUAACCAGAAUAAAACAUAAGGGAAUACUUGUCAUAGUACGACCCAAUAUGUAAUACAAACUUAUACAUGUGACAUACGGUGCUACAAAACCAAAAUGAACACUUGUACACUGAACAUAGGCCGACAAGGCCAUAUAAUCUUUCAUAUA